AAGGUUAAGUUAGUAAGGGCGCACGGUGGAUGCCUUGGCACUAGGAGCCGAAGAAGGACGUGACAAACGACGAAAUGCCUCGGGGAGCUGUAAGUAAGCGACGAUCCGUGGAUAUCCGAAUGGGGGAACCCAACAGGUAGAUGCCUGUUACCCAUAUCUGUUAAGGAUAUGAGGAGGAAGACGCAGUGAACUGAAACAUCUAAGUAGCUGCAGGAAGAGAAAGCAAAAGCGAUUGCCUUAGUAGCGGCGAGCGAAGAGGCAGGAGGGCAAACCGAAGAGUUUACUCUUCGGGGUUGUAGGACUGCAAUGUGGACUCAGAAUUUAUAGAAGAAUGACUUGGGAAAGUCAGCCAAAGAGAGUAAGAGCCUCGUAUUUUAAAUAGAUUCUGUACCUAGCAGUAUCCUGAGUACGGCGGGACACGAGAAAUCCCGUCGGAAUCUGGGAGGACCAUCUCCCAACCCUAAAUACUCCCUAGUGACCGAUAGUGAACCAGUACCGUGAGGGAAAGGUGAAAAGCACCCCGGGAGGGGAGUGAAAUAGAACCUGAAACCGUGUGCCUACAACAAGUUCGAGCCCGUUAAUGGGUGAGAGCGUGCCUUUUGUAGAAUGAACCGGCGAGUUACGUUAUGAUGCGAGGUUAAGUUGAAGAGACGGAGCCGUAGGGAAACCGAGUCUGAAUAGGGCGCAAUAGUAUCAUGACGUAGACCCGAAACCAUGUGACCUACCCAUGAGCAGGUUGAAGGUGCGGUAAAACGCACUGGAGGACCGAACCAGGGCACGUUGAAAAGUGCUUGGAUGACUUGUGGGUAGCGGAGAAAUUCCAAACGAACUUGGAGAUAGCUGGUUCUCUCCGAAAUAGCUUUAGGGCUAGCGUCGACAUCAAGAUUCUUGGAGGUAGAGCACUGUUUGGGUGAGGGGUCCAUCCCGGAUUACCAAUCUCAGAUAAACUCCGAAUGCCAAUGAAUUAUGGUCGGCAGUCAGACUGCGAGUGCUAAGAUCCGUAGUCGAAAGGGAAACAGCCCAGACCACCAGCUAAGGUCCCAAAAUAAUUGUUAAGUGGAAAAGGAUGUGGGGUUGCACAGACAACUAGGAUGUUAGCUUAGAAGCAGCUAUUCAUUCAAAGAGUGCGUAAUAGCUCACUAGUCGAGUGACCCUGCGCCGAAAAUGUACCGGGGCUAAAACAAUUUACCGAAGCUGUGGAUCCCUUAGGGGAUGGUAGGAGAGCGUUCUAUGUGUGGAGAAGGUGUACCGUGAGGAGCGCUGGAACGCAUAGAAGUGAGAAUGCCGGUAUGAGUAGCGAAAGACAGGUGAGAAUCCUGUCCACCGUAAGACUAAGGUUUCCAGGGGAAGGCUCGUCCGCCCUGGGUUAGUCGGGACCUAAGGAGAGACCGAAGGGUGUAUCCGAUGGCCAACAGGUUGAUAUUCCUGUACUAGAGUAUGAAGUGAUGGAGGGACGCAGUAGGCUAACUAAAGCAGACGACUGGAAGAGUCUGUCUAAGCAGUGAGGCGUGGUAUGAGUCAAAUGCUUAUACCUGUAACGUUGAGCUGUGAUGGGGAGCGAAGUUUAGUAGCGAAGUUAGUGAUGUCACACUGCCAAGAAAAGCUUCUAGCGAUGUAUCAUACUCUACCCGUACCGCAAACCGACACAGGUAGUCGAGGCGAGUAGCCUCAGGUGAGCGAGAGAACUCUCGUUAAGGAACUCGGCAAAAUGACCCCGUAACUUCGGGAGAAGGGGUGCUGAUUUAGGUCAGCCGCAGUGAAUAGGCCCAAGCAACUGUUUAUCAAAAACACAGCUCUCUGCUAAAUCGUAAGAUGAUGUAUAGGGGGUGACGCCUGCCCGGUGCUGGAAGGUUAAGAGGAGUGCUUAGCGGAAACGCGAAGGUAUGAAUUGAAGCCCCAGUAAACGGCGGCCGUAACUAUAACGGUCCUAAGGUAGCGAAAUUCCUUGUCGGGUAAGUUCCGACCCGCACGAAAGGCGUAAUGAUUUGGGCACUGUCUCAACGAGAGACUCGGUGAAAUUUUAGUACCUGUGAAGAUGCAGGUUACCCGCGACAGGACGGAAAGACCCCAUGGAGCUUUACUGCAGUUUGAUAUUGAGUGUCUGUGCCACAUGUACAGGAUAGGUAGGAGCCUACGAGAUCGGGACGCCAGUUUCGAUGGAGGCGCUGUUGGGAUACUACCCUUGUGUUAUGGCCACUCUAACCCGGAUAGGUGAUCCCUAUCGGAGACAGUGUCUGACGGGCAGUUUGACUGGGGCGGUCGCCUCCUAAAAGGUAACGGAGGCGCCCAAAGGUUCCCUCAGACUGGUUGGAAAUCAGUCGCAGAGUGUAAAGGUAUAAGGGAGCUUGACUGCGAGAGCUACAACUCGAGCAGGGACGAAAGUCGGGCUUAGUGAUCCGGUGGUUCCGCAUGGAAGGGCCAUCGCUCAACGGAUAAAAGCUACCCUGGGGAUAACAGGCUUAUCUCCCCCAAGAGUUCACAUCGACGGGGAG
rnacentral:rRNA from 1 species